ACUAAGCGUACACGGUGGAUGCCCUGGCAGUCAGAGGCGAUGAAGGACGUGCUAAUCUGCGAUAAGCGUCGGUAAGGUGAUAUGAACCGUUAUAACCGGCGAUUUCCGAAUGGGGAAACCCAGUGUGUUUCGACACACUAUCAUUAACUGAAUCCAUAGGUUAAUGAGGCGAACCGGGGGAACUGAAACAUCUAAGUACCCCGAGGAAAAGAAAUCAACCGAGAUUCCCCCAGUAGCGGCGAGCGAACGGGGAGCAGCCCAGAGCCUGAAUCAGUGUGUGUGUUAGUGGAAGCGUCUGGAAAGGCGCGCGAUACAGGGUGACAGCCCCGUACACAAAAAUGCACAUGCUGUGAGCUCGAUGAGUAGGGCGGGACACGUGGUAUCCUGUCUGAAUAUGGGGGGACCAUCCUCCAAGGCUAAAUACUCCUGACUGACCGAUAGUGAACCAGUACCGUGAGGGAAAGGCGAAAAGAACCCCGGCGAGGGGAGUGAAAAAGAACCUGAAACCGUGUACGUACAAGCAGUGGGAGCACGCUUAGGCGUGUGACUGCGUACCUUUUGUAUAAUGGGUCAGCGACUUAUAUUCUGUAGCAAGGUUAACCGAAUAGGGGAGCCGAAGGGAAACCGAGUCUUAACUGGGCGUUAAGUUGCAGGGUAUAGACCCGAAACCCGGUGAUCUAGCCAUGGGCAGGUUGAAGGUUGGGUAACACUAACUGGAGGACCGAACCGACUAAUGUUGAAAAAUUAGCGGAUGACUUGUGGCUGGGGGUGAAAGGCCAAUCAAACCGGGAGAUAGCUGGUUCUCCCCGAAAGCUAUUUAGGUAGCGCCUCGUGAAUUCAUCUCCGGGGGUAGAGCACUGUUUCGGCAAGGGGGUCAUCCCGACUUACCAACCCGAUGCAAACUGCGAAUACCGGAGAAUGUUAUCACGGGAGACACACGGCGGGUGCUAACGUCCGUCGUGAAGAGGGAAACAACCCAGACCGCCAGCUAAGGUCCCAAAGUCAUGGUUAAGUGGGAAACGAUGUGGGAAGGCCCAGACAGCCAGGAUGUUGGCUUAGAAGCAGCCAUCAUUUAAAGAAAGCGUAAUAGCUCACUGGUCGAGUCGGCCUGCGCGGAAGAUGUAACGGGGCUAAACCAUGCACCGAAGCUGCGGCAGCGACGCUGAUGCGUUGUUGGGUAGGGGAGCGUUCUGUAAGCCUGCGAAGGUGUGCUGUGAGGCAUGCUGGAGGUAUCAGAAGUGCGAAUGCUGACAUAAGUAACGAUAAAGCGGGUGAAAAGCCCGCUCGCCGGAAGACCAAGGGUUCCUGUCCAACGUUAAUCGGGGCAGGGUGAGUCGACCCCUAAGGCGAGGCCGAAAGGCGUAGUCGAUGGGAAACAGGUUAAUAUUCCUGUACUUGGUGUUACUGCGAAGGGGGGACGGAGAAGGCUAUGUUGGCCGGGCGACGGUUGUCCCGGUUUAAGCGUGUAGGCUGGUUUUCCAGGCAAAUCCGGAAAAUCAAGGCUGAGGCGUGAUGACGAGGUACUACGGUGCUGAAGCAACAAAUGCCCUGCUUCCAGGAAAAGCCUCUAAGCAUCAGGUAACAUCAAAUCGUACCCCAAACCGACACAGGUGGUCAGGUAGAGAAUACCAAGGCGCUUGAGAGAACUCGGGUGAAGGAACUAGGCAAAAUGGUGCCGUAACUUCGGGAGAAGGCACGCUGAUAUGUAGGUGAAGUCCCUUGCGGAUGGAGCUGAAAUCAGUCGAAGAUACCAGCUGGCUGCAACUGUUUAUUAAAAACACAGCACUGUGCAAACACGAAAGUGGACGUAUACGGUGUGACGCCUGCCCGGUGCCGGAAGGUUAAUUGAUGGGGUCAGCGCAAGCGAAGCUCUUGAUCGAAGCCCCGGUAAACGGCGGCCGUAACUAUAACGGUCCUAAGGUAGCGAAAUUCCUUGUCGGGUAAGUUCCGACCUGCACGAAUGGCGUAAUGAUGGCCAGGCUGUCUCCACCCGAGACUCAGUGAAAUUGAACUCGCUGUGAAGAUGCAGUGUACCCGCGGCAAGACGGAAAGACCCCGUGAACCUUUACUAUAGCUUGACACUGAACAUUGAGCCUUGAUGUGUAGGAUAGGUGGGAGGCUUGGAAGUGUGGACGCCAGUCUGCAUGGAGCCGACCUUGAAAUACCACCCUUUAAUGUUUGAUGUUCUAACGUUGACCCGUAAUCCGGGUUGCGGACAGUGUCUGGUGGGUAGUUUGACUGGGGCGGUCUCCUCCUAAAGAGUAACGGAGGAGCACGAAGGUUGGCUAAUCCUGGUCGGACAUCAGGAGGUUAGUGCAAUGGCAUAAGCCAGCUUGACUGCGAGCGUGACGGCGCGAGCAGGUGCGAAAGCAGGUCAUAGUGAUCCGGUGGUUCUGAAUGGAAGGGCCAUCGCUCAACGGAUAAAAGGUACUCCGGGGAUAACAGGCUGAUACCGCCCAAGAGUUCAUAUCGACGGCGGUGUUUGGCACCUCGAUGUCGGCUCAUCACAUCCUGGGGCUGAAGUAGGUCCCAAGGGUAUGGCUGUUCGCCAUUUAAAGUGGUACGCGAGCUGGGUUUAGAACGUCGUGAGACAGUUCGGUCCCUAUCUGCCGUGGGCGCUGGAGAACUGAGGGGGGCUGCUCCUAGUACGAGAGGACCGG
rnacentral:rRNA from 1 species